UGAUCAUGGCUCAGAUUGAACGCUGGCGGGAUGCUUUACACAUGCAAGUCGAACGGCAGCACGGACUUCGGUCUGGUAGCGAGUGGCGAACGGGUGAGUAAUGUAUCGGAACGUGCCUAGUAGCGGGGAUAACGCUACGCGAAAGCGUAGCUAGCCUGCCGCUUACGCCCUUCAGCAAGAGGGGAAAAGCAGGGGACCUUCGGGCCUCGCACCUAUUAAACGGCCGAUAUCGGAUUAGCUAGUUGGUGGGGUAACGGCUCGCAAGGCGACGAUCCAUGCUGGUUUGAGAGGACGACCCAGCCACACUGGGACUGAGACACGGCCAGACUCCUACAGGAGAGCAGCAGUGAAAUUUUGGACAAUGGAAACCCUGGUCCAGCCAUCCCGCGUGUCACGAUGAAGGCCUUCGGGUUGUAAAGCACUUUUGGCAGAAAGAAACGGCACGGGAUAAUACCCCAUGCAACUGACGAACCUGCAGAAUAAGCACCGGCUAACUACGUGCCAGCAGCCACUUACGGUAAUACGUAAGUGCAAGCGUUAAUCGGAAUUACUGGGCGUAAAGCGUGCGCAGGCGGUUCGGAAGAAAGAUGUGAAAUCCCAGAGCUUAACUUUGGAACUUCCAUUUUUAACUACCGAGCUAGUGUAUUGUCAGAGGGAGGUGGAAUUCGCAUGUAGCAGUGAAAUGCGUAGAUAUGCGGAGGAACACACCGAUGGCGAAGCAGCCUCUGGUAACACUGACGCUCAUGCACGAAGAAAGCGUGGGAGCAAACGGGAUUAGACCACCCUGGUAGUCCACGCCCUAAACUUGAUGUCAACUAGCUGUUGGGGCCUUCGGGCCUUGGUAGCGCAACUAACGCGUGAAGUUGACCGCCGGGAGUACGGUCAUGAAUUAAACUCAAGGAAUUGACAAGGGACCCACUACAAGCGGUGGAUGAUGUGGAUUAAUUCGAUGCAACGCGAAAAACCUUACCUGCCCUUAACAUCAUCUGAGAUCAGAAGGGGUUUGGGAGUGCUCGCAAGAGAACCCGGAACACAGGUGCUGCAUGGCUGUCGUCAGCUCGUGUCGUGGUGUUGGUUAAGUCCCGCAACGAGCGCAAGCCCUUGUCAUUAGUUGCCACCGAAAGGGCACUCAAUGAGACUGCCGGUGACGUAAGCCGGAGGAAGGUGGGGAUGACGUCAAGUCCUCAUGGCCCUUAUGGGUGGGCUUCGCACGUCAUACAAUGGUCGGGACAGAGGGGUCGCCCAGCCCGCAGAGGCCAAUCCCGAAGCCGAUCGUAGUCCGGAUCGCAGUCUGCAACUCGACUGCGUGAAGUCGGAAUCGCUAGUAAUCGCGGAUCAGCAUGUCGCGGUGAAUACGUUCCCGGGUCUUGUACACACCGCCCGUCACACCGUAGGAGUGGGUUUUACCAGAAGUAGUUAGCCUAACCGUAAGGAGGGCGAUUACCACGGUAAGAUUCAUGACCCAGGGUGAAGUCGUAACAAGAUUA
rnacentral:rRNA from 1 species